AAACUGUAUGGUGCAGAAAGUGUUUUUUUCAUUACAGUUUCUGCUGCUGGGAAAGCGGUAGAUCACUAUGGCUUCUGUACCGUGAAAUGAAGCUUAUGAUAAAUAAAAUACUGCUGCUUGCUGGUCACUGAUUGAAGAUCGUUCAGUGGCUACCAUUGGCCAAUCUCACCAACGGGAUAUAAUAAGAACUGAUGCAGGUUUAUAUCUAUAUGUAUUGUCUAUUCGGAAAUAAAGGCAACCCACUUAACUUUGGAAGUAGUGCGCUGGAUUCGUCUAAAGAUAUGCUAA